UUCAUUGAGUUAUGUUUUGCUAAGGUUCAUAUUAAAGUUACUUUGCAUCUCUGAGCACACACCAUAUCACCGUGAAGGGGGCUGGACCCUGUGCUGAGUGAAGGAGGGAGAAAGUCCUCCUUUGAUGAAGCCGCAAAAGCACCCUGGUGAGUUCCAGUGACGUCGCACCAGGGAAAUGUGGGUGUAGGGUUGAUUCCACACAUACUCAAGGAUCCUGAAUGCACUACGCUGUUUCACACUUGAGAGCUUCUAGCAACACUGUUUCCUAAACCUGGAAUGCCCUUCCUCACCUCUUUCAUUUGUUUACACUCCUAAGGAUCAGCAUCAGUUAAGAUUAGGGUCAAGUUUCCUUGACAAGUCUCUUCCAGUGGGGAGGAAAGUGUUUCAAGCUGCUUCCGUUCAGAGACACACCUGAAGACCUCCUUUUGUCUACUGAUUCCCUAUGCCCUCUGAUACUUUGGCUUCCUCUUAGCUGGUUGUUGAGAAAGUAGAAGUAUUAAACUGGUCAAGCCCACAAGGGCCUCUAGUCUAGCAAUCAGAUGCAAUUCUCAGUCGAAAUUAACAGACAUUCUCAUUAUAAUCUAGUCUAUCUGUGGCAUACAAAAAGGGAAACGAUGCUUUAAUCUGCUAAUGCUAGCAUCUCUUUCCUCUCACAACCAGUUGUAUUUCCUUUUAAAAGCCAAU